rnacentral:rRNA from 1 species
UCAACUCAUAUGGGACUACCCCCUGAAUUUAAGCA